AAGACAUCGACCUCAAGUAGAGAUGUCAUCUAGUUGUCGACGACAAGAAUCGCUGAGGUAGGAUAUCCUGGCUUCUAAACUUUGCCUUCCCUUUAUGCUUGAGAUUAAAACUAUUGGAGGCAUCGUUCUUCAUUGCUUCCAGCGUAAUUUGUUGAAAUGACUUCUUCAAUAUGGUUUAGAUUUCAUUUCAACGCGAGUUUAUUUUCCUCAAUGAAGAGUAUUUCCUCCUGGGCAACUGAUAAAAAAUUCUCAAAUUUUGUUUCUCUGUACUGAGCGACAAACAUAUCAACUGAAAGUGAUGGGAUGUACAGAACAGUUCGAGAGAAUGAAAAUGAAUCAAUAAAUGUACAACCUUUUUUUGUGCAUUGAAACGCACAAAAAAUGAUCCCACAUACAUUUAUAUAUGCGUUAUACUCAUAUAUGUGUGUAUUUAUAUGUUUUUGUGUAUAUAUAUGUAUAUUAUGUAUAUAUGUAAUAGUAACACUAAUGCUUUUUCCAUUAGUUAUCACUGUUAUAUAAUGUGCUGCUAAGCUCCAUCAUUUCGGUGCAUAUAUAAAAUAUUUUGUGAUUAAGUGAAAGAAGACAAUUCGAGUAUUCAUGGAAAUGAAGCUUUUAAAAAAUAUAGCAAUGUGUUUUCUGAUUAUUUAUUUAUUUAUAUGUUCAUUCGCUUUUUGCUUAUUUAUUUAUUUACUUAUUUUCUUUUUAAUUUUGACACGCAACGUUUACAGUUUGUAAUUCAGUAAACACAAAAAGUCGUUUUUAGCAAGAUUACUGAAUUUUAAUUACUGACUACUGAUUACUGAAUUUUAAUUACUGACUACUGAUUACUGAAUUUUAAUUACUGACUACUGAUUACUGAAUUUUAAUUACUGACUACUGAUUACUGAAUUUUAAUUACUGACUGUAAAUUUAGUCUACAUUUGUAAAUUAACUAAAAGAAGGAAAUUUACUAAUCGCGAAAAAUUAUCCCUAAGGUCAAGAAUUUAGUAAGAUUGAAAUAACGUUAUACAGUUUGACCUUCUAAGCAUAGCAAAUAUCAAAUUCCACUACACUUGGAGCUAAGUAUCGCUGAGUCUGAAGAUAGCGGCAAACCUUUCCAUUAGAUGAGCCAAUGAAGCUUAAAUAACAAUUAAGGCUAGUAUUAAUCUAGAACUACAUGACUGAUUACGCCUAGUAGUCAAAGACUACACUGUACAGUCAUGAUGCUGUUUUAAAGCAACAGACGUGAAAAUUGUGCAAUGCCCUCGCUGAUACUCGAACCCUAGACCUUUCGAAUACGCGUCGAAUAUGUACCCAACUACACCACGAAGACAUGCAGAAAGGAGGGACAAAAUAACUUAUAAUAAUCUUGGUAACCUGGCCUCGAGGGGCAGAAACACACUCUGUCUUAUCAUCCAAAAGCCUCUACUUAAACACUCAUUAACUGAUUUGCAUUCGUUGAGGAAACGAAAAGGGAAUUGAUAGUAAAGUUGAAAUUAUACACAUUAAAUUAUAAGGUAUUUCUCCCGCCUUCGUAGUGUAGUGGUCAGCACACUCGGAGCGCUUUCGAAAGGUCCGUGGUUCGAGUCUCGGCGCAGUGCUCAUUUUUUAUCACUCCUACUUUCAAAAAAUACCUAAUGUCUCUACACUUUGAUAACAUAACUAAUAACGGAUAACUUCACUAAAUAACUGACUAAUAAUGCAACACGGGGGAGGCGUAGCAUUAGGAGAUAAGUUUUGGUAUAUGAUAAAAAAUGCGAGUUGGAGAAAUGAAGAUUAAGAACAGCUGUUGUAGACAAAGUAAUUCUAAUGAGAUCAUCUAUCGCUUCUACAAACGGUUUGUAGUACCUUUGUAGGAGGUUACAAGAAAUUACGACCUUGAGGAGCAGUUCUUUCUCAUUGCAUCUCCCUUUGCUGACUUCGGACAAUAAUUCUUUAUUUAUUAAUUUACCACAUUAGGGAACCCCAAAUAUGAAGUGAGCAAAGCUCUUAAUUGCCUCUUUACAUAUUAGCCACAUUCGAGCUUCUUAACUUCAGUUAUUUUAAAUGUAAUUUCUCAUAUUUAAAUUAAAAUUCUAUCUUCUUUGAUUGUUGAUUCUCUGAUGAAAUGACGAUAAAUAUACAAAUAUAUAGUUAAACUUUUCACUGAAAUAAUUUUAUUUUUAUUUUUGGGUAUUAAAUUUAAAUAUAUGCUCUUUUUAUUUUCAUUCCACCUAAUGGUACUGAUUGCUAUUUACGUCUCUAUUUCAAUUUUCAUAUGCUUUUAAGUUUGUUGAUGGAAAUGUAAAUUAUUUUACCAUUUUCUUAAAGUUCUUGU